UCACUCUGGUGUCUCAUCAAUACCAGGAUAAUUCUUUCGUCUUUUACUAGAGAGUUCCGUGGUUACGAGCAUUGAUGAGUCUAUAUUAUUUUUUUUCGAACGUCUGGUCCUUAGACUUG